UACGUAGGUGACUAGCGUUGUCCGGAUUUACUGGGCGUAAAGAGCGCGCAGGCGGUCGUUCAAGUCGAGUGUGAAAGCCCCCGGCUCAACUGGGGAGGGUCAUUCGAUACUGAUCGACUCGAAGGCAGGAGAGGGAAGCGGAAUUCCCGGUGUAGUGGUGAAAUGCGUAGAUAUCGGGAGGAACACCAGUGGCGAAGGCGGCUUCCUGGCCUGUUCUUGACGCUGAGGCGCGAAAGCUAGGGGAGCAAACGGG
rnacentral:rRNA from 2 species